AGCUUUGUGCAGUGGCAGUAUCGUAGCCAAUGAGGUUUAUCCGAGGCGCAAUUAUUGCUAAUUGAAAAAAACAGCUCUAGAGCUCAUUUGAAGGGUAACACACAGUCACAUGAGUAACUAUCACAAAGGAACUAAUUGA